AUUAGAGCUGGCAAACAAGCCGAAACCCGCGGGUUAAUCCGUGCCCGGACCGUGAAAACCCGAACCCGGACUGGCUGGUUUCUAAACAAGCCGGGUUAGGGUUGGAGAAAUGGUGACCCGUCGAGAAACGGGUUAACCCGGCCCGGACCGUGAAACCACGGUUUAACCCGUGAACCCGCACUUCAUACGUGUCGCCUCUCCUUCACUGGAUUAAUCGACCGAGAGGAUAAACUCUCAUUUAUAUUUUCUUCUUCUUCUCGUUUCUUUCUUCUUCUCUUCUUUCUGUUUUUCACCUCUGGUGAAUUCUUGUGAGGGCUCUGAGGUGGUGAGGUUGGGAUAAUUAGACAAGAGUCAUGGGUUGUUGCUGGAGGUGGUGUUGUUCUUGGCUGAACAAGGAGAGAAGAGGAAAUAUUAAAUGAGUGAAGAUAUGAAUUAGAGUUUAUAGAGUUGGAUGAUGUUAUGAAGAUUUAGAAGAUAAAUUAUGAAGUUAUUGUUGUUGAAGAUUCAUGAGUAGUUUUUUAAUUUAAGCCUUGAAGUUGAUUCAGUGACGAAUCAUUGAAGAAUCAAUAGUUAGGGUUUUCUGUAAUUGAUCGAGAAUUCAAUUAAAGGUGAAUAAGAAGAAGUUAGAAGAUGAGUUUGUUUUUGAUUGGUAUUUGAUGUAAAUGGUGGAGUUAUCCUGAAAAAUUGAUUAAGAAAUUGCAGAUUUAGGGUUCCUCAUGUUCUUCCCCAAUUUAUAAAUUAGAGUUUCUGAGGGUUGCUGAUUAUGAGACUCAGAUCGAGACAGAAGAAGGGUAGAGUUUGUUUUGGUAGAUGGUGGUGAUCUUGAGAUGAAUUCUGAGUCAGGUCAGAGUAAGAAGAAUCUAAUUCAAUUGCUUGAGUUGGAUUGGUUUGAGGUUGAACUGCAGUUAUUAGCGCAGAACUGAAGUGAGUUAGUAUUAGUAAUAUGCCUGGUGUGAUCGACCAUUAACAGAAGUAAAUGUAAGACAAUAUGGAUUGGUGGUGGCCAGACAAAGAAAUUGAUGCUCUUGUUUAUCCUCAAGGAAGACGGUAAACCCUCAAAUCCAAAUUAUGUUUGCUUAUCUGAUUUCUCUUUCUGAAAACAUAGUGAAUUAGCCACCGAUUCUGCAAUCUUUGAUUAUUGAUCAUCUUAGCAUCUAAGCACGAGAAGAGGCUGAAAAGGUACGAGUUUGAUGAACUUUAUUGACAUCAUUAGUUUACGAAGAAUUAUAAAUAAAAGACGUAACUAGAAAAUUCCUCACAAUUUUAUGAGAUGGUUAAUUGGCAUUCUUCAUUUGUUUGGUUUAUUAAUAGUUUCUUAGGCAUUGAGAUUGAGUUGAAAUUCUUUACAUACUUCUGCAGGCCAAAGAAGGUGAUGGAUCCACAACACUUUCAAUGGUCAGUAGAUCAUCCUUCCCGUUUGCAUUCCUUUUUUAUUUAAUUUUUUCCGCCUUAAUUAUGACCUACGACAAAUUGCAAAAAUAUGAGUUACUGGUGUGAUCGAAUUACUAGUAGUAUUGUUGAAUGAGGUAUGCCUUUGUUUGUUGAUAAUUCUAAUUGAAGUAUAUAUGGUCAUGUGGAUGUAAUUGCAGUUGUUGAUGAUAAUUCUAAUUGAAGUAUAUAUUCUAAUUGAAAUUGAUUUUCAUCUCUGUUUUUAUUUCUUUAAAGAGUGGAAGAUGAUUUGGUUAAAUGGGAUUGUUCUUGUUUGGAAAAAGGAGAGAAAUAGAGAGCUAUUGAUGGCAGUAAGAGUUGGUGACUAAAAUGGCAAGGUUCGUGCUUGGAGGGUGGUUGAAAAAUUGUCUCAACAAAAUCCCUUGUGAUUUGAAGGAGCUAAUGCACAGAUUCUUCUGCAACAUUUUUGUAGUAUGUUUUAACUGGCAGUACUCAGUUCUAGCCAUCACGGGGGUUGAACAUCUAAAAUGUUGGCUCAACUGAGGGAAGAGUUGGUGUCCAUCAUUUGGAUUUGGAUGAUUCUCAGCAAGAGAAAAACUUCACCUUCAAAUGUAUAGAAUUCUUGCUGCGAUUGAAGCAACGAUGGGUUGAGCUGAAAAUGGACUGAUUAGAUGUAUGUUAGGUGUUAUAGGGAAGGAUUUGGAAGGAUUUGUGUUUGCUUAUUGUAAUACUUGUGUUUGAUCUUUGUAAUUUGUCCUAAAUUAACUUAAUUAAAAUUUGA